rnacentral:rRNA from 1 species
AUUGAACGCUGGCGGCAGGCCUAACACAUGCAAGUCGAGCGGACGAAGGGAGCUUGUUCCUGGAUUCAGUGGCGGACGGGUGAGUAAUUCCCAGGAAUCUGCCCUGUAUAUGGGGCUAGCGUCCGGACACGGGCGCUAAUACCGUAUACGUUCUUAUGUUGAAAGUGGUGGUUCUUUAGACCUCAACCUAUUUGAUGAGCCUAGGUCGGAUUAGCUAGUUGGUGUGGUAAAGGCCUACCAAGGCGACGAUCCGUAACUGGUCUGAGAGGAUGAUCAGUCACACUGGAACUGAGACACGGUCCAGACUCCUACGGGAGGCAGCAGUGGGGAAUCUUGGGCAAUGGGCGAAAGCCUGAUCCAGCCAUGCCGCGUGUGUGAAGAAGGUCUUCGGAUUGUAGAGCACUUUAAGUUGGGAGGAAGGGCAGUAAGUUAAUACCUGCCUGUUUUGACGUUACCAAAAGAAUAAGCACCGGCUAACUUCGUG